UACGUAGGUGGCAAGCGUUGUCCGGAAUUAUUGGGCGUAAAGCGCGCGCAGGCGGUCCUUUAAGUCUGAUGUGAAAGCCCACGGCUCAACCGUGGAGGGUCAUUGGAAACUGGGGGACUUGAGUACAGAAGAGAAGAGUGGAAUUCCAUGUGUAGCGGUGAAAUGCGUAGAGAUGUGGAGGAACACCAGUGGCGAAGGCGACUCUGCGGUCUGUAACUGACGCUGAGGCGCGAAAGCGUGGGGAGCAAACAGG
rnacentral:rRNA from 1 species